rnacentral:rRNA from 1 species
CCCUUAGAUGUCCGGGGCCGCACGCGCGCUACACUGAAGGAAUCAGCGUGGCUCUGUCCCUGGUCCGAAAGGAUUGGGAAACCCGUUGAAUCUCCUUCGUGAUAGGGAUUGGGGCUUGGAACUGUUCCCCAUGAACGAGGAAUUCCCAGUAAGCGCGAGUCAUAAGCUCGCGUUGAUUACGUCCCUGCCCUUUGUACACACCGCCCGUCGCACCUACCGAUUGAAUGGUCCGGUGAAAUCUCGGGACGGCGGCUUGGUCGCUUGCGUCCGACUGCUGAAACUUGAUUAAACCAUAUCAUUUAGAGGAAGGUGAANUCGUANCA